CGGACGGGUGAGUAAUGUCUGGGAAACUGCCCGAUGGAGGGGGAUAACUACUGGAAACGGUAGCUAAUACCGCAUAACGUCGCAAGACCAAAGAGGGGGGCCUUAGGGCCUCUUGCCAUCGGAUGUGCCCAGAUGGGAUUAGCUAGUAGGUGGGGUAACGGCUCACCUAGGCGACGAUCCCUAGCUGGUCUGAGAGGAUGACCAGCCACACUGGAACUGAGACACGGUCCAG
rnacentral:rRNA from 1 species